rnacentral:rRNA from 1 species
AGAGUGGCGGACGGGUGAGUAACGCGUAGGAACCUACCUGGUAGCGGGGGACAACCUGGUGAAAACCAGGCUAAUACCGCGUACGCCCUACGGGGGAAAGCAGGGGAUCUUCGGACCUUGCACUAUCAGAUGGGCCUGCGUCGGAUUAGCUAGUUGGAGGUAAUGGCUCACCAAGGCGACGAUCCGUAGCUGGUUUGAGAGAAUGAUCAGCCACACUGGGACUGAGACACGGCCCAG